CGAGGCACUACGGUGCUGAAGCAACAAAUGCCCUGCUUCCAGGAAAAGCCUCUAAGCAUCAGGUAACAUCAAAUCGUACCCCAAACCGACACAGGUGGUCAGGUAGAGAAUACCAAGGCGCUUGAGAGAACUCGGGUGAAGGAACUAGGCAAAAUGGUGCCGUAACUUCGGGAGAAGGCACGCUGACACGUAGGUGAAGUGAUUUACUCAUGGAGCUGAAGUCAGUCGAAGAUACCAGCUGGCUGCAACUGUUUAUUAAAAACACAGCACUGUGCAAACACGAAAGUGGACGUAUACGGUGUGACGCCUGCCCGGUGCCGGAAGGUUAAUUGAUGGGGUCAGCGCAAGCGAAGCUCCUGAUCGAAGCCCCGGUAAACGGCGGCCGUAACUAUAAC
rnacentral:rRNA from 1 species